rnacentral:sRNA from 1 species
AAUAAUGUAACUUAUAUUUUCGUGAAAUCUGUCACUGAAGAAAAUUGGCAACUAAAGGUUAAAACCGUUAUAACACAGUCACCGGCGCAGAGGAGACAAUGCCGGAUUUAA